AGACCGAUAGCGAACAAGUAGAGUGAUCGAAAGAUGAAAAGCACUUUGGAAAGAGAGUCAAACAGCACGUGAAAUUGUUGAAAGGGAAGCGCUUGCAGCCAGACUUGCUUACAGUUGCUCAUCCGGGUUUCUACCCGGUGCACUCUUCUGUAGGCAGGCCAGCAUCAGUUUGGGCGGUAGGAUAAAGGUCUCUGUCACGUACCUCCUUUCGGGGAGGCCUUAUAGGGGAGACGACAUACUACCAGCCUGGACUGAGGUCCGCGCAUCUGCUAGGAUGCUGGCGUAAUGGCUGUAAGCGGCCCGUCUUGAAACACGGACCAAG
rnacentral:rRNA from 1 species